rnacentral:rRNA from 1 species
GAUGAACGCUGGCGGCGUGCCUAAUACAUGCAAGUCGAGCGAACAGACGAGGAGCUUGCUCCUCUGACGUUAGCGGCGGACGGGUGAGUAACACGUGGAUAACCUACCUAUAAGACUGGGAUAACUUCGGGAAACCGGAGCUAAUACCGGAUAAUAUAUUGAACCGCAUGGUUCAAUAGUGAAAGACGGUUUUGCUGUCACUUAUAGAUGGAUCCGCGCCGCAUUAGCUAGUUGGUAAGGUAACGGCUUACCAAGGCAACGAUGCGUAGCCGACCUGAGAGGGUGAUCGGCCACACUGGAACUGAGACACGGUUCAGACUCCUACGGGAGGCCGCAGUAGGGAAUCUUCCGCAAUGGGCGAAAGCCUGACGGAGCAACGCCGCGUGAGUGAUGAAGGUCUUCGGAUCGUAAAACUCUGUUAUUAGGGAAGAACAAAUGUGUAAGUAACUAUGCACGUCUUGACGGUACCUAAUCAGAAAGCCACGGCUAACUACGUG